CGACCGAUACCGAUCUUAAAAGUAUCGGUAUCGGUAUCGAAUUAAAAAUCCUGGUAUCGCCCAUCACCACUAGCGAGCUUAAGCAAGUGGCGUUUUGACAACACGGACGUCGACCGGAAGUAAAGUUGACGUUUUUCACCAAUCACAGCCCUUGACCCAGUCUUCUGACGUUGCUCAUGCCGUUCGUGUUGUCAAAAAUGUCACUCGCUUAAGCUCACUACUAUAAAGAUGUGUCACUCGACGUAUUUCCCUAAUGUUUGCGUGUCCGUAAUUUUCCGUGCUGAUCACGAGUGAUCACGCGAGAUGACGAGUACAUAACACUUACUGCCAAAAUGGCGGCGAGACUGAAUACAAUAGGUUGCCAUCGCGAUGCUCGCGCUAUAUGAC